ACACCGCUUGUAGAACAAAUUACAACCAGCAAUUACUUGAGUUUUAUCAGCCAAAUACAAAAAGAUGUUAAUGUUUGGCCAUGAACGAGUGCUCUACAUGGAAUCAAACUCUUUUCCUUAAGAUUCGCACUCGGAUACUCUACCGCUGAGCUGCAGCAAAUUCAGUGAUGACGAAAGAAAAUCAUCCGCCUAAAAAAGUUGGAAAAAGUUGACCAGUUUCGAACAUCCGUCCUUCGCAAGGGGCAAAGUGGACAUGGAGAUGGUUGAAAUGAAAUUCCUCUGACUAAAGUAUCCAGGACGGAUUAUUCAAAACCCGAUUAACUAUAAUCUCAAGAUAACUGAAUGCAAAUCCUGGUGUUGCCAUAGCAAUUAAACCAGGAUUACAGCUCGUCCAACUUCAAUAAACUCGGCUCAGUAUACCAGCG